UACGUAGGGUGCAAGCGUUAUCCGGAAUUAUUGGGCGUAAGAGCUCGUAGGCGGUUUGUCGCGUCUGCUGUGAAAGACCGGGGCUCAACUCCGGUUCUGCAGUGGGUACGGGCAGACUAGAGUGCAGUAGGGGAGAACGGAAUUCCCGGUGUAGCGGCGAAAUGCGCAGAUAUCGGGAGGAACACCGGUGGCGAAGGCGGUUCUCUGGGCCUGUACUGACGCUGAGGAGCGAAAGCGUGGGGAGCGAACAGGAUUAGAUACCCUAGUAGUCCAACGAACCAGUCUGUACCUACCAUACUCACCGACCCUGC
rnacentral:rRNA from 1 species